rnacentral:rRNA from 1 species
UAUCGUACGGGAGGCAGCAGUGGGGAAUCUUCCGCAAUGGACGAAAGUCUGACGGAGCAACGCCGCGUGAGUGAAGAAGGUUUUCGGAUCGUAAAGCUCUUUCGUCAGGGACGAACGUAUUUCUUGUGAAUAAUGAGAGAUAGUGACGU